rnacentral:rRNA from 1 species
AUUGAACGCUGGCGGCAGGCCUAACACAUGCAAGUCGAGCGAGCGGCGGACGGGUGAGUAAUGUCUGGGAAACUGCCUGAUGGAGGGGGAUAACUACUGGAAACGGUAGCUAAUACCGCAUACCAUCAGAUGUGCCCAGAUGGGAUUAGCUAGUAGGUGGGGUAACGGCUCACCUAGGCGACGAUCCCUAGCUGGUCGGAGAGGAUGACCAUCCACACGUGAACUGAGACACGGUCCAGACUCCUACGUGAGGCAGCAUUGGGGAAUCUUGCACAAUGGGCGCAAGCCUGAUGCAGCCAGGCCGCUUGUGUGAAGAAGGCCUUCGGGUUGUAAAGCACUGUCAGCGGGGAGGCGUUGCCCGCAGAGGAAGCACCGGCUAACUCCGCGCCAGCAGCCGCGGUAAUAC